GGAGCUUUCUCUUUGCUGCGUGCAAUGGAUCACCUGGAGCACUUGGACCGUCUGGAGGACAGUGGAGCGAUCUUCUCAUUGUCUGGUUACAUUUCUUUAUUUUCCCCUUCUUUUUAAUCUUCUCUAGUCCCUUAAUUAAUUUAAUUCCCCCUUUUUUUCUGUUUGAUUUCCCACCCCACCCCUUACCCUGCCCUUUGGGAAGAUUCUCCCUGUACCUGUGAGCGCUGCCUGUGCAUAAUCCUCCUGGGCUUGCCUUUCCCAAUAGGGAGAGAGCCCCCAUUAGGGGCUUUCUUUUGCAAAAAGUUUUUCCCCAUUUUCGCCUGUUUAAUUGUGGGGCUAGCCAGGGCUGCUCCCAGCUUACCUGGAAUCACUUUCAUUUAUAGUAUCCCCAUAGGUUGGCUUUAUUUUGGGUGCAUGCAGUGCUGUUGGCCGAGUUUUAAUCUAGCCUUGGGCGGGCACACUAUUGAGUUCCUUUAAUACUGCAAUGAGACAAAAAAGGCAGAGAGCAGAAGCAGGGAGGCCAUCACGGCCUGCACGGCCUGCACAUAUCUUUCAAGCCUAAGCCUGCUACAGUUAGCAGUACAGUGAAUUCCCAGCUUACCUGGAAUCACUUUCGUUUAUAGUAUCCCCAUAGGUUGGCUUUAUUUUGGGUGCGUGCAGUGCUGUUGGCCGAGUUUUAAUUUAGCCUUGGGCGGGAGCACUAUUUUGAGUUCCUUUAAUAUUGCAAUGAGACAAAAAAGGCAGAGAGCAGAAGCAGGGAGGCCAUCACGGCCUGCACAUAUCAUUCAAGCCUAAGCCUGCUACAGUUAGCAGUAUAGUGAAUUGUUAAGUUUCUGUGACAUGUGACUCAUUCUCUCUAUAAGAAUGUAUCUGUUGUUUGCAGGCUCACUUGUUGCUAACGUAUAGCUUAGGCAGACAGAGUGGAGCCAGAGGCUCUCUGUGCCUCCAAUGAGCACUCUUUGUAUGCUCUUUAACUAUGCUGUUUCUGAACAAGUUUAUUUUCUUCAAGUUUGUUUUCCCUGAUAGUGGCGACUGCCAUUUUAGAGACAAGCCAUUGUGGCUUAGUGGCUAGAGUACAGGACUAGGACCUGGGAGACAGGGUUCAUAUCCCUCACUUAGCCAUUGUUAUAACAAGGCAAAACAAGCUGCUCCUUUUGGACUAUUUUGUUGCUGGGUAGUUUGGCCCGUUUGUGAUAAAAGAACUUUGGGUUUCUUGAAGGGGUGCUUCCCUCUAAAGGGCAAGCAGGGGUACCUGGACAUGCGGUGGGCUGCCUCGAGUUUGUUAUCUCAUUGGAAACAUUUAUGUCUGGCCUAGCAGGUGAUCCUAGGGCUUGGCCCGCUUGGCCCUAGAAUUUGAUGGCCUCUGGCAGCGUUUCUGGUCUGAAUAGCGUCCCCAUGUGGUGCACAAAACAUUGGUUUCACCUGUUCCUCACAUUGUUUGGGUUUUUUCUUUUCGCAGACUAUGACAGGGCCUUUGCAGAUGCCUCCAGAGCUUGCCUCUCCUGCAGAGGAUGACUUGUUGAUGCCCCAGGUGCCUUCUUCAGGAAGGAAGCGUCUUCAGAGGCAGGAAAAAGCAUAGCAGGGAUGAUGCUUACACCUCCUUGCAGGUAAAUCAUCACUGGGCUCUGAUGAUGAUUCAGACAUCACCUUGGACCUCUCCAGGGGUCAGGGUGAGGCUGUUCCAGGUCUUUAGGGAGCAUCCUGGAUAGCUCAGCUGGUCAGCGUAUGGUGCCGGUAAUGCCUAGGUUGCAGGAUUGGUCCCUGUAUGGGACAGCUGCAUGCUCCCUCAUCACUUUACCCGGACACUGAGGUCCAGCGCCGAGGGCCUUUCUGGUGGUUCCCUCACUGUGAGAAGCCAAGUUACAGGGAACCAGGUGGAGGGCUUUCUCGGAAGUGGCACCUGCCCUGUGGUACACCCUCCCACCAGAUGUCUACUACCAGACUUUUAGAAGAUAUCUAAGGCAGCCCUGUUUAGGGAAGCUUUUAAUGUUUGAUGCAUUACUGUAUUUUAAUAUUUUGUUGGAAGCUGCCCAGAGUGGCUGGGGAAGCCCAGCCAGAUGGGCGGGGUACAAAUAGAUGAUGAUGAUGAUGAUAUUGUGGGAGAGUGGACUAGAUGAUCCUAGGAGUCCCUUCCAACCCCACUAUUCUAUAAGUGGUAAUUCACUAUGAUGGGAAUGUUAGACGCAGGGCUGCCAUCAUCCCCUUAGCUCGCUAGGAUCGCAGGGACGGGGACAUGUGGACCACUUGCGCAGCUCCACAUUUCAAAUGGAAAUUCCCUGAGCAAUAGAACCUGAAGCUGGUAUGCAGGAAG
rnacentral:lncRNA from 1 species